rnacentral:rRNA from 1 species
AGAGUUUGAUCCUGGCUCAGGAUGAACGUGGCGGUGUGCGUAAUACAUGCAAGUCGAACGGAGUUAAUAGCAAUAUUGACUUAGUGGCGAACGGGUGAGUAACGCGUUGGUGAUCUGCCUCGAAGUGUGGAAUAACGUUCCGAAAGGAACGCUAAUACCGCAUGUGCUCUCGAUUUUUAGAAACUUGAGAGUAAAGGAUUUAUUCGCUUCGAGAGGAGCCUGCGUCCCAUCAGCUGGUUGGUAGGGUAACGGCCUACCAAGGCUAUGACGGGUAGGGGACCUGAGAGGGUGGCCCCCCACAAUGGAACUGAAACACGGUCCAUACACCUACGGGUGGCAGCAGUAGGGAAUAUUAGAAAUGGACGAAAGUCUGAUCUAGCAACACCGCGUGUGCGAAGAAGGCCUUCGGGUCGUAAAGCACUUUUUGGAAGGAAUAGGAAGGAAUGUACUUCCAGAAUAAGUCUCGGCUAACUACGUGCCAGCAGCCGCGGUAACACGUAGGAGGCAAACGUUAUCCGGAUUUACUGGGCGUAAAGCGCGUGUAGGUGGUACUGUAAGUAGGGCGUGAAAGCUCCCGGCUCAACUGGGAGAGGCCGUUCUAAACUGCAGAACUAGAGGAUGGUAGAGGGAGGUGGAAUUCCAGGUGUAGCGGUGGAAUGCGCAGAUAUCUGGAGGAACACCAGUGGCGAAGGCGGCCUCCUGGACCAUUCCUGACACUCAGACGCGAAAGCUAGGGUAGCAAACGGGAUUAGAGACCCCGGUAGUCCUAGCCCUAAACGAUGUAGACUAGGCGUCGGUGGUUUAAUCACCAUCGGUGUCCAAGCUAACGCGAUAAGUCUACCGCCUGGGGACUACGGCCGCAAGGUUAAAACUCAAAGGAAUUGACGG